rnacentral:lncRNA from 1 species
CCUCCGCCGAUGUCAGAGAAGAAGAAGGAGAACUCAGAGCGGGUCCGAGUGAGGGCAGAGAGGAUGGAGGUGAUAAGGUAGUUUCUGUGUUUUGGCACUCCGAUGCGGUGCACGGGAUAGAGAGGCUCGCGUUAGUGAGGAUGGGGUCGGAGGGGGAGGAGGAGGAAGGGGUCAGGGGAAGAUGAAGAAUAAGAAGAAGAUGAGGCGAUAAGGGUCGGAGGAUAGUGCAAUUUUCUUUAAAACAGUAUAAUUUUUUGUCAAAAGAGUGCAAUUUUUAUUUUAAAAGUGUAAUUUUUAUCUCAAAGAGCGCAACGUUCAUAUUAAAUAGUGCAAUUUUCUUAUAAAACCGUACAAUUUUAUUUUAUGCAACAUUCAUCCUCUUUCUCCUUUUUCUCUGAUUUUUAAACUUUUCGGUAGUAGCAACGAUAUAUAAUGAUCUUUUAAAGAGAUUUUUUUUUUUACUUUUUAUUCCUAUUUUUUUCUACCUCUGCAUCUCUGUUCACUCCUUGGAGAU